GUCUUUUUGAUAAUAAUUUAAAGUCUAGCCUGCCCAAUGAAAAUUUAAUGGCCGCGGUAUUUUGACCGUGCAAAGGUAGCAUAAUCAUUAGUUUUUUAAUUGAAAGCUUGUAUGAAGGGCUGAACGAGAAAAUUACUGUCUCAAUUUUAUUUUAAAAGAAUUUUAUUUUUAAGUUAAAAAGCUUAAAUUUAUUUAAAAGACGAGAAGACCCUAUAGAGUUUAAUAUUUACUUAAUUUUUUAAAUAAUUUAUAAUUAUAAAAAUUUAACUAAAUAUUUUAUUGGGGUGAUAAAUAAAUUUACUAAACUUUAUUUAUUUUUUUACAUAAAUUUAUGAUUUAUUUGAUCCAAUGUUUUUGAUUAUAAGAUUAAAUUACCUUAGGGAUAACAGCGUAAUUUUUUUUGAGAGUUCUAAUCGAAAAAAAAGAUUGCGACCUCGAUGUUGGAUUAAAAUUUAUUUUUGGUGUAGAAGCUAAAAUAUUAAGUCUGUUCGACUUUUAAAAUUUUACAUGAUCUGAGUUUAAACCGGUGUGAGCCAGGUUGGUUUCUAUCUUUAAAAAAAAUAAAAUAUUUUAGUACGAAAGGACCUAAUAUUUAUAAUAUUUAUUAAUUUUUGAUUAU
rnacentral:rRNA from 1 species